UACGGAGGGGGUUAGCGUUGUUCGGAAUUACUGGGCGUAAAGCGCGCGUAGGCGGAUUAGAAAGUUGGGGGUGAAAUCCCGGGGCUCAACCCCGGAACUGCCUCCAAAACUACUAGUCUAGAGUUCGAGAGAGGUGAGUGGAAUUCCGAGUGUAGAGGUGAAAUUCGUAGAUAUUCGGAGGAACACCAGUGGCGAAGGCGGCUCACUGGCUCGAUACUGACGCUGAGGUGCGGAAGUGUGGGGAGCAAACAGG
rnacentral:rRNA from 1 species